rnacentral:rRNA from 1 species
UACGGGGGGAGCAAGCGUUGUUCGGAUUUACUGGGCGUAAAGGGCGCGUAGGCGGUCAGCACAAGUCAGUUGUGAAAUCUCCGAGCUUAACUCGGAAAGGUCAACUGAUACUGUGCGACUAGAGUGCAGAAGGGGCAACUGGAAUUCUCGGUGUAGCGGUGAAAUGCGUAGAUAUCGAGAGGAACACCUGCGGCGAAGGCGGGUUGCUGGGCUGACACUGACGCUGGAGGCGCGAAAGCUAGGGGAGCGAACGGG